UGUAAAAAGUGAACAUGGGUCUAAGUUGGAUUACUAGAACUAUUUGAGUCUAUUUACUUCGUAUUUCUGCUUUCCUAAUCGUAAUUGAUUAUUGUACACUCAUUCAACUUGAGCGCAUAGAAAUUCACAGACACUCAAAUAUCUCACUUUCACCCGAAGUAUAGUUUCCCUUUAAAAGGAUCUCCGCGCCAGACGUUUUUUUCUGACGUCAUGACGCACGAGCCUGAUUUCAACUUCUGUUGCUCAGCUGACAACCGCCAUUUUUUCUCUCCGCACUCGGAUGAAAAAGAAUCAAAAGCUUUUUAAAUAUUUCACGACUGAGGAGGACACUUUGCUAUAACGUUGUUACAUGACUGAAAACAUUCAUGUGAAAAGAGUGUGUCCUGAAGGCCCUCAUCGUUUUCCUGGGGAAAUUCUCAAGAUCUUAUCAAGGAGUACCUUGAGAACCAGCAAGAUGAUUGCGAGGGUGAGCUGGAGCAGUUCACCAUGGCAGUGUAUGUUAUUCGGAAGGAGGGGGGGACAUCACAAACCACCGGCUGACAUAGGUGUCGUCAUCAAGGCUGUCAAAGUUCUGAAUGAGCUGCCUUCAUUCACAUCAGCUUGUGCCUUGCUUCUCGGGAUGAUAUACAUCAACAAUCUGGCUUAUCCAAAACCACUUCGGUUUACAUUCGAGGUAUUCCAGAAAGUUCUCUUGCAGCUCGAUCAGCACAAGAUGUCACCAAAAGUUCAAAGUCUUUUCAGGAGACUACAGUGUACUUGCAGUAAUGUUUGAAUGUGCAUGUGUUUGAAAGAAUGUCUCUGUUUUAGUUGGAUGUUUCAUGUGUUCUUAUUGUAAGACUAUCCAUUUAUUCAGUCAUAUGUCUAGUGUGUAGUUGUUCGAAUCUGUAGUUGAUUGGUUCCCUUUACAUUGGUGAAAGAGUAAUUACCUAUAACUCUAAGCUGUUAAAAUUUUCCAUGACCUGUUUUUUUUUUUUUUUUUUAUAAAAACAUGGCUCAGUUUAGGGCAUUGCCUGUAAGCUGUUCUGAAGCACUUCUAAAUGCACUUAUAUGGUUCUAUUUUAAGAAUAUAUGAAAGGGAUAGUUAACCCAAAAAUGGUUCAAGUUCUUCCAAACCUGUAUGAGUUUGUUUCUUCUGCUGAACACAAAAGAUGUGUUGAAAAAUGUUGGUAACCAUACAGUUAACCGUACCCAUUGACUUUCAGUCUUUUUUUUUCCUGCUGGAAGUCGAUGGGUACGGUCAACUGUCUGGUUACCAACAUUUUUCAUCACAUCUUCUUUUGUGUUCAGCAAAAGAAACAAACUCAUACAGGUUUGGAACAACUUGAACCAUUUUUGAGUGAUCUAACCCUUUAAUUGUUUUUAAGUGGCUCAUUUAAGGGCAUAACCACUUUUUCUUUUUAUAAAAAUAUGCAGUGCAAAGACAACUUUGCAAAAAGACUUAUGGAUGUAAAGUGUGUCAGUAAAUAAAAUUUAAUUGGCACAACAAAUAUAAACAGUUUGUAAUGAUUUCUCAAAGUUUGUAAUAUGAAAAACACUGUAUAAAUAUAAAUGAAUUAAUGGUAAUAAAUAUCUCUAAUGCAAUUUGA